CACCGUCAUACACCGCAAUAUACUGAAUAGAUAAGCCUUGGACACAUGCAUACACUGAGCCAACAUUUGAGGUUCGGAGGCAAUGCACAGCUGUCAGCACUCCAUACAGCACUGAGUGUGGAAAAUAGAACACCUUCCUAGUUUUCUCUGCGGCACAGGGUGUAAGAGCAGUGAGCUCAUACUCAGAGCAUAGCAGCUGAGGAGAUAAACUUCAAUACACUGGCCUGCCCAAAGAGGCUUGAAAGGCUGCCCAGGUGGCAAGACAAUAAUUUCACUGCUACUGAGGGCUUCUGAACUGCUGGUUUGCUUGGAAUCUUUAUUACAUAUUUAUCUCUUUGGGUUUUACAGCAGUUAUACACAAACAACCUAAAAUGUCUGAGAAAUAAGAAAUGGAGGCAGAAGAGGGACAUGAUGGAAACUUUGAAGUACCUCAAACGAAUCCACAAAGAUCAAGAGGAGAUGAUGCUAAAAAAGAGACGAAUGAUAAAGUGAUGUAAUAUAAAGAAACAAAUUGGGUGACUUAGAGAUAAAGAGUAAACAAUUUCACAGAAGGGGUGGUAGAUGACUGGAACAGUCUUUCUUAAAUAGAAUAAACUUGAAAGAGUUCAAGAGUGCUUUGAGUAGCAUAUCAUAGAAGAAUUGGGAUGAGGUGGGUGGUAAACAUAGUAAGGUGAAUAAGAGCUGUAGUUAUUCAGCAAGAAAGGCCAUGUUUUGGUGACUAUACAGCCCUUAUCUGCUAUCAUAAUAUGAUACGGUCUGACAGGGGUGUGUCCUUGCAAUAGAUAGGAAGCUAAACCAUCACAGUUUAUUUGAACCUGCUACAAGUGAAAUAAGUGGGGGAGGAUUGAGACGAAAUGCUUAGAAAUGCCCAUGGAAUUACAGGUCAAAGUAAAAAGAACAAAAACACUAAAGACAACUUUGAAGUGUGUUUUGAUUCCUUUUUCAACUGGUUCUCUUUGCUGAUUACAACACAAUUUAGGGAUUAUCCACAGCCCAUGGUUUUUAUUGUAGGAGAAAAGUUUCAGUUUUAAUUUGACAGAUGGAAUUAACUGACUUAUUAUGACAGAAUAUUUAUGUCUGUACCAAACAGCAUAGUUGUGGUCUUAGUGAGAUUAACUGAGAGUUGUUUAUAUUGGAGCCAGAUUUUCAUGACUGGUAGGUGGUCAUGAAACUCAGAGCUUAUGGACAAUAGACAGUGAUUUGAAUUGAAUAUGCCCAUAUCAUCUAUAUACUGUGCAGCAGUUAAACUGGGGCUUUUCCAGAGUGAUGAAAUCGAUGAAUGAAAAUAUGAGUGUUCUGGACAGACUGUCAAGGUGUACCAGAAGAGAACUGUGGAGUUAUUGACUCAAGAUCAGCUAUUCAGAUACAGACCAGGCUUUACAAGUUCCUCCAAGGCAAGAGGUUAGAAGACAAAGUCAAAUGUCCUUGAGAUGUUAACAAACAGGAUGCCUGUCAAUAUACACUACCUUCUUAGAAAUGCGUGACUUAACAAUGGAAUCAACCAAAUAGCAUUAAUGCUUUACUGAAUAUUGAAUAAUUUAGUGAAUACCACUGUUUUGCUCUUUUGAACACUCUAAUCUUUAGUAAUUAUAAUUGGUUAAUUAGUUUUGAUUACAUGAUGAUGAUGAUGAUGAUUUAGUUCUAUUUUACUUCUUGAAGGCUAAUAGCCAAGAUAGCAGGUGAUAGUAUUUUUGGUAACUGUCUGAAUAACAUUUUAACCAUUUUGGAUUCCUAAGUUUUUUAUUUAACACUCUAGAGUGUCUUUAUCUAUCUGUUUCCCUGUCUGUAUGUCUACAGAUCCUUAUUUUCAGACUGCGGACUGCAUUUGCAGGGCACAGAAGAGUAGAAGAUGAAAUGUUGCCACCAUUACAUAACCAAUGAAUCAAUGUUCUUUAUCAUAAAACAGGCUUCUUGUUAGUUAAACUAUGCUAAAUUGUUAACUUGGAGAGCAGCAGCUGCCUUUAAUAAUAAUAUGGAAAGAGAUGAAAGGAAGGAAAUGAGCUCUAGCUGCCAUGGUAUACUGGAUCGGUACCAUUAGGGAGCAGAAUGUUAAUGCCGCUUUCAGAGAGCAAGAGUGUAACCAAACAAUACAGACAAGUGGAGAUGGAGCAGAUGGGAUGAAAUGAAUGAACUUCACUAUUUCAGAAAGCAUGGAUAACGGUUAGCAACAAAUAGUUUAUUGUGAUUAGUUUAUGUAGGAACGAUAUGACAGUAUUAUUGGAAGUCAUUUGCAAAUUACAGCAGGUAAGUGAGGUGAGGAUCAAGUUAGGAUCAGGAUUGUAAGAGUCAGGUGAGGUGGGGGGAUGGCAUUGGGAGAUAAGCUAAACACAAUGUCAGCAGAAGAGACAUGGAAGCUGUAGACUGUCAGUGAUAGGCUCAAAAGGUGGGACACGGUUACUCAAUACAUGAGACGUGCAAUACGGCAGUGGAAGGCUAACUCUAGUCGGUCUAAAAGUAAGGGUCUACUUUGUGUGCUAAACUUAUACUUAUUUUACAAUUUAACUAGGUAUGUGAGUUGGUCAGAUGACCCAUUUCAAUCAUGAGCAGACCCAAAUGUGAGUGACAAACAUGUAGGCACAUAUUAAGUAUAAGUAUUCAACUCAUAAAGACACUUAUAUCACAGAGUUCAUGAAAUCAUAUAAUCAUAUCAUGCUCUAAAAAGAUGAAUAGUACAUAAAGCACAAAAUCACAUGAUUCCUAACAUUUGGAAAAUAUGAUUCAGCUUGUAAGACAGAAUUAUAUAGGUUUGAUGUUAUACACAAAAAUGUGCAUUGAAUAACAUUUACAGUCAGUUGGGAAGAUAUAUAAUAUACUAAUGAAAGCAGGGAAGACUGGAAAUAUGACAUAGUUGUAGCAGAUUACCCUGCAUUCAGGAAACAGUUACGCUUACAGUUGUCAAGCAAGUAGGUCUUGAAUUUACUUCUAAAUUUUAAAUAAUCACUGAUAAAACUUAUGUCUUAGAGUAAUACAUUACAGCUGGCUGUAUGGAUUUUAAAGAAAAGAAUUCCACUAUAGAUUUUAAAGAAAAUAAUUCCACUUUAGCCUGGUUGAAGAAUAGCCCUUACAGCUAUACAACAAAUAUAUUUGUUUUACCUUAAGCUUGAUAGCCAAUGGAGGGCAAACAAGUUGUUAAGUAGUGUGAAGGUCAGAGAGUUUAAAAGAAAUAAGGCUCUAGCAAUUAUUAUCAUGUAACUAACCUUAGCUAUUGUAUUACAGUGAUGUUCCUAAUGGCUUGCUAGGUGAAUAUAUCUAAAUACUUUAAUUGGGAAUUGGUUUAUUACAGUUAUAUCCACACCUCCCCAGCUCUUAUACUGAGGAAAAAAAAACAGACAUUCAUACUACUGGUACACAAACCAGCUGGCCAGAUGCAAGACACCCUCCUCACCCCACUAAUUCAGGUCUCCAUUUCUGUGCCAUGCCCCCAACCCUCCUUCAAACAGUUUUAUUAAAAACAUAUUUUUUUCUUUAAAACUGUAGUAAACUGCUUGCUACAAAUGUAGCAAACAUUUGAAACUGUUUUUACCAUACCUGCAUGGAGCUCUACAGUGCUCAGGCUUUAGUUAAAAAAAAGAGUUUUUUUUUAAUUUUAAACUGUAGCAAACUGCUUAAUAAAUGUAGCAAGCAGUUCUUACAGUUUAGACCACACACUGAGUGCUACAGCACUCAGGUUUGAUCACAAAUACAAUACUGGGUUUUAAAAUAUGAUAUUGCAUAAAAGAGAGAUCAGGAUUGGCUGAUCAUACCCCCAACACUUUAUACUCAGGACAUUUUCCCCUCUCACCACACCCUAGUUUCACUACUGGGCAAGAGGCUAUUCCAGUCAUGAGGUGUGCAUAUUUGCUGCCCUAAAUUUUCUAGCAUAUGAUUUCAGAGAUUUUUGCAUUUAUGACAGACCUUUAGUUGCUUUACUACAUUAGUUGCUGUAGUUUCUGUAUGAUAGUUGAUGUUAUAAUUUUGGUCAAUCCACACUCUAAGUAUUUUUGCAUAGUAAGUUAGGAGUAGUAUUUACAUGCUGAUAUGUUUUAAGGAGAAGGUAUGUGUUUUGGGAUAUGUGAUAUUAAGUGACUUAGAGUUGCUUGAGUCUGUUUAUAUUCUGAAUGAAUAUUAUAACCAUUCUUACUUUAAGACUACUGUAUAGUAUUGUCAUUUUAAGAAUGCCUAAAUCCCAUGAUGCAUUGUGUCUGGUGCCCAAAGCCUGUGUAUUUGUGAUGAGGGAAAAGUUAACAUCGUUCUUAUUGUAUUGUCAUUUUGUGUAAAAAAAUCAAUAUGUCUAUUAAAAAUGUUGGUGUGUAUCCCAAUGUUAAUGAAUUAAUGAAAUUGCUAUUCUGUAUUUCUAGGUAAACAGAGGUGCACAUAAUGACAUGAUGUCAGAACUGGGAUAAUUUUUUUUCGUAACAUAAAAGCAUACCAUGCAAGUUAGAAAACUACAUCAGUGAGCUUAGUAGUGUCCUCCAAUCUGAGAGUAAGUGGUUUUACUGAAAACAAGUAGCGUUAUAUCACAAAAUGGCUGUUUUACUGAGCUAAAAUUGUUCAGUCCUAGAACACAGAAUGUUUGUCAAAAAUGACAUUUAACCCACCAGAGCUGUUUGACAUAGGAAAAGAGAUGGCAGCAGCACUUUCUCCUUAUUCUGAGAGAGCAAGAGUGUCACAUAUGUAUCAUUAAUUAAUAAACUUGACGAACAUUUUGUGUCAAAAAAGAAAUAUUAUACAUAAAAUGGCAUUCUCGACAGCUAUGUGCAACUAAAGAAUGUGUUGAAACUUUUCUAAUGUGCAUGUAUGAAGUGGCUGAAAUUUGUGGGUUUAGUGGAAAGAAAGAACAAAUCAGAGACAUGUUUUUUCCUUUCGUUUCUCUUUAUACCCUGCCAUGUGCCCCUAGGAAGACAAGAAAAGUUUUUUUUUCUUAACUCCUUUCAGAUGAUGGCCCCAUAUUGAAAUGUCAUGACUAGUAAUGCUGAAUGCUGACACACUCAAAAAUAAAGACCAAAAAUGUAGAAUAGUGAAUAUCAAACAACACUCUUCUCCUUUAAAAUUAUUUUUGUCCCGCUGUGGACAAAAGUAUACUUACUCUGAGAUCAACAUGUCUUUAAAAAUAAGGGAAUAUUCUAAGAAAUGGCCAUCUCAGGUUUAAUAUAUGUAAGUCCAUUUUUUUGCCAUUCAGUCUUCUUGUUACAGGACUCACUAAAGCAGGUCCUGACCUUUCACAGAGUUACCUCAAAUUACAUAUAUCGAGUAAAAAUUGACCAUCUAUCAACUGUCAAAGCAAAUUCUGGCUGAAUUUAUUUUUUCCAAUAUGGCAAUAAGAUUCCUUUGGUAACUGUGACAAAAGGAGAUACUGCUA